AGGGGGAUAGCUAUGGGAAAAGUGUUAUAGUUACGUUAUAAUGAAGCCUGUUUAACUCGGGCUCUCCUUA
rnacentral:tRNA from 1 species